rnacentral:sRNA from 1 species
AUGUACUCAAGUACAUUCCGGUUUCUCCGCUCCGUCCGCACCCCGCUGCGGCACGCUCGCUACGAUUUUUUCACA